AGCGAACGCUGGCGGCAGGCCUAACACAUGCAAGUCGAACGAACUCUUCGGAGUUAGUGGCGGACGGGUGAGUAACACGUGGGAACGUGCCUUUUGGUUCGGAAUAACUCAGGGAAACUUGUGCUAAUACCGAAUGUGCCCUUCGGGGGAAAGAUUUAUCGCCAUUAGAGCGGCCCGCGUCUGAUUAGCUAGUUGGUGAGGUAACGGCUCACCAAGGCGACGAUCAGUAGCUGGUCUGAGAGGAUGACUAGCCACACUGGUACUGAGACACGGCCCAGACUGCUACGGGAGGCAGCAGAGGGGAAUCUUGCGCAAUGGGCGAAAGCCUGACGCAGCCAUGCCGCGUGAAUGAUGAAGGUCUUAGGAUUGUAAAAUUCUUUCACCGGGGACGAUAAUGACGGUACCCGGAGAAGAAGCCCCGGCUAACUUCGUG
rnacentral:rRNA from 1 species